rnacentral:rRNA from 1 species
GGAGCUUGCUCCCGGAUGUUAGCGGCGGACGGGUGAGUAACACGUGGGUAACCUGCCUGUAAGACUGGGAUAACUCCGGGAAACCGGAGCUAAUACCGGAUAGUUCCUUGAACCGCAUGGUUCAAGGAUGAAAGACGGUUUCGGCUGUCACUUACAGAUGGACCCGCGGCGCAUUAGCUAGUUGGUGAGGUAACGGCUCACCAAGGCGACGAUGCGUAGCCGACCUGAGAGGGUGAUCGGCCACACUGGGACUGAGACACGGCCCAGACUCCUACGGGAGGCAGCAGUAGGGAAUCUUCCGCAAUGGACGAAAGUCUGACGGAGCAACGCCGCGUGAGUGAUGAAGGUUUUCGGAUCGUAAAGCUCUGUUGUUAGGGAAGAACAAGUGCAAGAGUAACUGCUUGCACCUUGACGGUACCUAACCAGAAAGCCACGGCUAACUACGUGCCAGCAGCCGCGGUAAUACGUAGGUGGCAAGCGUUGUCCGGAAUUAUUGGGCGUAAAGGGCUCGCAGGCGGUUUCUUAAGUCUGAUGUGAAAGCCCCCGGCUCAACCGGGGAGGGUCAUUGGAAACUGGGAAACUUGAGUGCAGAAGAAGAGAGUGGAAUUCCACGUGUAGCGGUGAAAUGCGUAGAGAUGUGGAGGAAC